AUUUAAAUAAUUUAAUUUAAAAUAUUGAUUUGUGGUUUCAAAAAUAUGAAUUUUAAUUCAUUUUAAAUU
rnacentral:tRNA from 3 species